rnacentral:ncRNA from 2 species
AAUAAUUAUCAAGAAUCUCAUAGAUGGGAUAGCAACCUGCAAAAACAAGCAAGGUGCUGAAAUAGAUAAGCCGAUUCUCUUUCGGAAAAAAUGUUUUAAUC